rnacentral:lncRNA from 1 species
AUGAGGCCAGUUGGAAGAGCCACAGAGGUGUCCCUUUGCUCUGUUCUGAAAGCUUGGGGGUUGGGGGGAUCUAGCAGACCUCAGUCACCUGCUGCAGGAAGCGGAUGCUCAAACUGUCACCAGAUAGCUGGUCCAGGAGCUGGACACUGGGUUUCUUCAAAGGUCCCAGAGUGGUGCACACCUGUAAUCGCAGCAGUCAGGAGAUGCAGGUUGGAGGACCAGGAGUUCAAGGAUAGCCUCGGCCACGUAGGAAGUUUGAGGCCAGCAUGAUCAACAAGAGACUCUAUUUCAGAAAACCAAAACCACACGAUGACAAGAUGUUUCAGUAAGAACGUAAGCUUGGGACUGGAGAGAUGGCUCAGUGUUUAAGAGCACUGGCUGCUCUUCCAGAGGACCAGGGUUCAAUUUCCAGCACCCACAUGGGACACCUGUCUGUAACUUCAAGACCCAACACUCCCACACCGACACACACGCAGGCAAACACCGAUGCAUAUUAAAAAAAAAUGAAUGAACGGGCUCUGGCAGAUAAUAGACAAAUUAUCUGACUACAUAGUCUUUUUCCAUCUGGGACAAAACCAGGACCACUGAUAGGACCAGCCUGAGGCCUGUCAUGGGCAUCAGAAGAGAUGAGCGUUCAUUCGGGAGACCAGACCUAGGAAAAAACCUGUUCUUGCCACUUUCCAAAAGUGAGCCAUCAUGACAUGGAUGCCACCAAUGGACCUCGAUGUCAGCUGUAGAGGUUAUCACGAUGUAAAGCAUGCUUUCUGUUGGUCUCUCUCUCUCUCUCUCUCUCUCUCUUUUUAACGGUCUUUGUAGGAGAAUGCUGUCAUCAACCUAAGUUACAAGGGGAUAUACUGUCUCCUGGCAAAACAGGCGUGAGCUGGGGCAGAGGUGAAUCUCCAAGUCUCUAAAGGAAGUCCUUCCCAGGUAGCUCCCCUAACCUGCCACCCUCAUCAACAAAUUCUCCUCGGGUACAACACAAGGGGCCACAGCACGGAGAGGCACGACUGCUCACUUAUCCAUCACUUAUCCAUCAUGUUAAAGAUUAUCUCGCAGGUUACUCUGUGGAAGGUGACACGGGCCCCCAGUGAACAUCAGUGUCCCCAUGUGCAGUCUGCACAAGGCAACUCAGCAGGGAGAGAGAGGUCCUUGUCUGCUGGCCCCGAGUGGGUGCCUGAGGAGCCACGUGAUGGGAGGAGGGGUCACUCCGGGCAGGACAUAGGCCUCGUGUUUGAACCACACCGGGACUCAGAAAGGACGGCUGGGCGUGGUGAUGGAUCAUGUCUGUAAUCCCAGCUAAGCGGGAGCCAGAACUAAGACAGGUAUAAGAGACAGAACCCAUUUUGGCUGAAUGGGCUUGCUAGCCCAGCUUAGGUUCGAGUUCAUGCUUUGUACAAAAGGACCUGCCUUGCCAAGCUGCUUUCAGUUCGUGUGUCCUUGUAUGACACAGAGGACAAUUUACCAGCUCAUCUAGGACUUCAAAUCUACCUGGGGGAGUGUCUCGAUCCCCCGCCGUGGGGAAGGUGCGCCCCACUCUCAUUGCGAUGACACCCGGGGUCUCCGCUGAACAACACUCCUUUAGAUAAUGAUCUUAGGACAGGAAGUCUCUCAGCAACAGAUGGAGGUGGGAGAAAAUGCCAUGGUGACCAGGAGAUUCUUGUUCCCAAGACCCAGGUAGGAAAUGCCAAGAGUGUCGAAGGUGCUCCUUGGUGUCUGGGGUGGGUGGCCCUUGGGGUUGAGUAAGAGAGUGAAUGAGACUCAUUGUCGACCCCGUGUGAAAAGAACAGAUGGACUCACAGCUCCACACGUGCCCCUGUGGAUUCUGAUUGUCAAGAAGCAUCUAACGUGGGUGCUGGGCAGUGGGGGAGUCAGCUGGAGAAGAAACCAAACGUAGACUACAAGGGACCUCCAUCACCAGGGGCUGAGAUACAAGAGGCCUCUAUAUCUGGGGUUGAAACAUGCCAGGAAUCCAGGACAGGAAGCAGCUAGGUUAAAUAUGGCUCUGAGGAAACGUGGCCCCCAGAGGUGGCUCCAAUUGUUCAGUAGUCACAGAUCGAUCUGAUCCGCUCACACCAAGGUCACUUCUCUUCCCCAGUUUCCCCUUGGGCUCCCCAAAUCACAGCGCCACCUACAGGCUCCACUUCCAAAUCACAGCGCCACCUACAGGCUCCACUUCCAAAUCACAGCGCCACCUACAGGCUCCACUUCCAAACCACAGCGCCACCUACAGGCUCCACUUCCAAACCACAGCGCCACCUACAGGUUCCACUUCCAAAUCACAGCGCCACCUACAGGCUCCACUUCUUCAUGAGCUCACUCCUUUCCAGCUUGUGCCUAGGAGCUGCAGGGAGAUUACAACAAGGCCCAAGGCCAGGAGAACACUGCCUAGCAUCUGCUCAGUUACAGUUUGAGACGUCUGCGCUCCUUGCCGUGAGAGCGUGGAAUGCCUUCUUUGCUUAAUUGCUUUUUUCCCCCAUUGCCUGGGUGACAUGUACUGCCUCUCCCUCCCUAAAGCCAUGCCUAACUUGGUAUCUGUCUUAGGGUUUCUAUUGCUGCCAUCCAUAACAUGACCAAAAGCAACUUGGGGAACUUUGCUGGGAUGUCCUGGAGGGGGACACUGAGGUCCUUCUUUCCCCCAACAGAUUCGUUCAUAAGUGGCCUACCCAUGUCUGCUGUGAAGCCGUAGCAGACACUGCCUGAGAGGCCGUGAGUUCUCACUCCGCUGACGGAGAAAAUGUGCGGGUCCCGGUUUUGCAUAGUAGCUUGUUUUCAGUCGUAUACAUGGUGUGUUCAGGACUCCUCUGAGCACCCGAGACAAGCCAUAGGCUGCUUCCCCAAGCAAUGUAGGAAGCAGCGACUGACCUGCCUGCCAUGAAUAAAGAUUAGGGCUGGGAACCUCUGAUGUAUAUGCUGAGUUAAUACACACAAAUACAGGCCUGCCAGCCUCCGAAAGGAUCACACCAAGGCUGCUAAGUGCGGCAUAUUUAGACUCUUCAGGACACAGAGACAGUGGCACGUGACAAAUCUCUGAGCUGGGCUAGAAGGAACCUCGGAGAUGUCACCUGGGUCAGCACUAGGGCCACCACUGGAAGGGGAGUCAUUUUGCUUGGCCGGUGACAUUCAGAUACGGAGACAAACUGAUGUGUGUGCUAGUGAGCAGAUAACCUGUGAAUAUGCUUAGGUUGACAGAUUGGGACAAAUCAGGGUACACUUGCCUGCAGUCUCCCACCCCUCCCCAGCAUCCUGCCAGAGAGCAAGUAUGUGCAUCUGUACCAGGCUCCUGGUGCCAGGACUCCAGAGAAAGAAACGUUAGAUCCCAGAUCAGGCAGUGGCUUAAGUUGCUGAUCUAUAAGUCCUAGUUGAUCUUGAAACUCCCUGCUGCCACAGAGAAAGACACCCUACAGAGAGCCUGACACUAAAGGACCACCAGUGUGCGUUUGGGG